CCACGUUGGCUUCCCAAAGUGCUGUCCCCAAAUUUUUAAACACACAAAAGCUAUACAAAGUUAAUUCUUAGAGAAAGAACGGUCAAUAAACAUUUGGAAGAAUGCUCAACCACAGUAGCAAUCAGGAAAAGUUUAAAGCAAUAAGAUACCAUUUCCGCCCCCAUGAGAUUCAGCUUAGAGACAGGGUCUUGCUCUGUCGCCCAAGCUGGAGUGCAGUGGCACAAUCAUAGCUCACUGCAUCCUCAAGCUCCUGGACUCAAGCAAUGCUUCCUCCUGCCUCAGCUACCCCCAAAACUCCCCAAAAGCUGGGAUUACAGGCACAUGCCACUGAGCCCAGCUAAUUUUGUUUUUUUUUUUGGUUUUUUUUUUUGUUUUUUUUUUGUUUUUUGUUUUUUGUUUUUUUUUGACAGAGAUGGGUGUUGGGAGGAGUCUCGUUUGUUGCCCAGGCUGGUCUCGAACUCCUGGCCUGAAGAGAUCCUCUUGCUUUGGCCUCUCAAAUUGUAAGGGGAUCGCAGGCCUGAGCCAUCACGCCCACCCUCCCCCAAAUUAAAAAAUGUGAACAUAUGCAGUGUUGAAAAGGUGAGGAAACAGGUAACUCUCCCAUACAGUUGGUGGGGAAUGUAGAUUGAUAGUAUUUUUGGAGGACAAAUUAGCAGUAUGUAUUACAUUUUAAAUUGUGUAUACCCCUUUAAAUCAGUUAUUCCACUUCCAGAUAUUUACCCUACAGAAAUACUUGAACAUGUACACAGAUAUAUAUGUAUGCAUAAAGAUGCUGAUUGAAGCAUUUUUGGGGAUUAGUAAAAAAUGGAAACUUUCAGAAAUGUCAAUCAGAGGCCGGGCGCGGUGGCAAGUGUGACAUAGAGCCUUUCAUUAUUUACCCCAUAUAUUCCAGUGUUGUUUUAAUUAAGACAAAAUAUAGGUAUUCGUGGGAUAAUUUUUUUUUGUUUUUGAGACGAAGUUUCGCUCUUGCUGCCCAGGCUGGAGUGCAAUGGCACGAUCUCGGCUCACCACAACCUCCACCUCUUGGGUUCAAGCGAUUCUCCUGCCUCAGCCUCCCAAGAUGGGAUUACAGGUGUGUGCCACCAUGCCCAGCUAAUUUUUGUAUUUUUAGUAGAGACAGGGUUUUGCCAUGCUGGCCAGGCUGGUCUUGAACUCCUGACCUCAGCUGAUCCACCCACCUCGGCCUCCCAAAGUGCUAGGAUUACCGGCAUGAGCCACCGUGCCCGGC
rnacentral:lncRNA from 1 species